rfam:Salmo salar isolate Sally breed double haploid chromosome ssa14, whole genome shotgun sequence.
GGGCAGGUAGUUUGUAAGUCGCUCUGGAUAAGAGCGUCUGCUAAAUGACUUAAA